rnacentral:sRNA from 1 species
UGCCGGUUCAUCAGCACGUUCGUUGUUU